GAGGGUGGGUGAGUGGUCAGAGGCGGGGACCCCCUUGUUAGGAGGUUAUGCAUAAUCUCAGUUGCAAUAUCUGAAUUACUGGGGUGGUAAUGGUGGGCCUGGGAAGGAAGGGAGCAGAGCACAAGGCUUUUCAAAGGAAGGGCAUGUUGGAUUUGCAAGGGAUUGGUUGGGCAGGGUGGAAGACAGAGCUAGAUCUUACUGUUUACUGACGAGGCACAAAGUGUUGGGUGAAGGACUAUGGUUGGCAGAUAGGAUGCUACUGGGAGACCACCUUGGAUUCAUCUUUGUUUCCUCUCUAGGCCAUGGCACUUGCAUCUAGUCAGUUGCCUGUAGCUGGGUCAAGGUGAGGUAGGGGGCCAGAUCUCCAUCACCAGAAGUGGCUUAUGGGAGACAGUAAAACUUCUGGGGUUGGGGCCUUGGAGAGUCCCAAAUGGUUGCUGUGGUUUUUACUUUUAUUUUUAUAGAUUUGGGGGAUACCAGUACAGUUUUGCUACAUAGAUAUAUUGCAUAGUGGUGAAGUCAAGGCUUUUAAUUUAACCAUGAUCCAAACAGUGAACAUUGUACCCAGUAGGUAAUUUUUCAACCCUCUCUCGGUUGCUGUGGUUUUGGAGACAGGUUCAUGGUGAAGCUGGCUGAAGAGACAGAUGGGAUCAUUGUCUCCAAUGACCAGUUCCGGGACCUGGCGGAGGAGUCUGAGAAGUGGAUGGCAAUCAUCAGAGAACGCCUGCUGCCCUUUACCUUUGUGGGAAACCUCUUCAUGGUACCUGAUGACCCACUGGGGCGAAACGGCCCCACCCUGGAUGAAUUUCUGAAGAAGCCAGCCAGGACACAGGGGUCUUCUAAGGCUCAGCAUCCUUCCAGGGGCUUUGCAGAACAUGGGAAACAGCAGCAGGGGAGAGAAGAGGAAAAAGGUAGUGGUGGCAUUCGGAAGACCCGGGAAACAGAGCGGCUCCGGCGGCAGCUGCUGGAGGUGUUUUGGGGUCAGGAUCACAAAGUGGACUUCAUCCUGCAGCGGGAGCCAUACUGCCGGGACAUCAACCAACUGUCUGAGGCCCUGCUCAGUCUUAACUUUUGAGCCUCACCUGCUUGAGUGGCUGCCGCCCUGUCAGCUCCAGCCGCCUCCAGCUCAGCCCUUUCUGUGAGAGUCCCUCUGCUGCUCACUCUGAUCCAGAGGCACCCUGAGUUGGCGCUUUGGAUCAGGGAAGCCACUUUGGGACAGGUCUAUAAAGUGAACUUGAUCUUACUGAGUCAGGACCUCAGCCAGCUCUCAAGAGGUUCUGCUCAGCCUUAACUUCUCAACUUUGCCUUAGCACAGGGUUUCUGUAGGGAGUGGGGGCUGCUAGAGGGAUUAAUUCCGGAGACUGAGACUGUUGGCUCCACCUCCAAGCUGAGCUAGGGUGGAGGGCAGGGUGGGCAGGAAGUGACAGGAAGUUAAGCUGUUCCUCUCCCUGGCUGCUGCUCUGGAUGGCCAGAGAACAAGAUGCUCCCUUGCUGAGCUCCUGGGAGCGUGGAAGGAGAUGCUAGGCCCUGGCACAGUGUUAUGUGGACUGGGCCACGAUAGGGUGGAGUGAGCUAGUGAAGAAGGCAGAGGGAGACUUGGCUUCUGGUCUCAGCUAUGCCUGUUUGUGACCUUGAUUGAGUUGCUUGGGCUUUACUUCUGCCUACAAAUCAGGGGUAAAAAUACCUGUUGGGAGGAGAAAUGAGAACAUAGAGGAAAGCCUCUUGGAGGAAAGGUGCUUGGACCAAGUCUCAGGUGUGUCUGCCUGUGGCUGCACAGGCUCUCUAACCGAAACCUCACUUUCAGAGAGAUGUGGGUCCUUUGUCUCCAGGAUCCACACCCUAGAUUUUAACACUGCAUUCUCACUAUAACAUGCCCUAUAAUGGCUGCAUCCCUUUUGAGCAACCUCCAAAAUCUACAUUUACACAGUAGGUAAAUUAGGGAUGACUGCAUUAUCAAAAUACUCUCAGGGUUCCUAUAAAUGGCAGCUCUCCUGUUGUAUUCAGGUGUUGUUUACAGACUAACAAAUGUGUUGGCAAAUCCCUGGUUAGAUGCACUUCCUGGUGUUGAGAUGAACACGUCGAUUUUUCACCAAAUCGAUGAAGCCAUGCUCUGCAAUGACAAUAUUAAUGUGAUCCGACCCUAACAUUUUCUCUAUGGAAGACGUAUGUUGCAUAAAGCAAGGCACACUUCUGCUUUA
rnacentral:sRNA from 1 species